UAGCAUAUCAAUAAGCGGAGGAAAAGAAACUAACAAGGAUUCCCCUAGUAACUGCGAGUGAAGCGGGAAAAGCUCAAAUUUAAAAUCUGGUAGCCUUCGGUUGCCCGAGUUGUAGUCUGGAGAAGCGUUUUCCGCGCUGGACCGUGUACAAGUCUCUUGGAACAGAGCGUCAUAGAGGGUGAGAAUCCCGUCUUUGACACGGACUACCAGUGCUUUGUGAUGCGCUCUCAAAGAGUCGAGUUGUUUGGGAAUGCAGCUCAAAAUGGGUGGUAAAUUCCAUCUAAAGCUAAAUAUUGGCGAGAGACCGAUAGCGAACAAGUACCGUGAGGGAAAGAUGAAAAGCACUUUGGAAAGAGAGUUAAACAGUACGUGAAAUUGCUGAAAGGGAAACGCUUGAAGUCAGUCGCGUCUUCUAGUACUCAGCCUUCCUUUUGGUUGGUGCAUUUACUAGUCGACGGGCCAGCAUCAGUUUUGGCUGCGGGAUAAAGGUCAGAGGAAUGUGGCACCUUCGGGUGUGUUAUAGCCUUUGGUCAUAUACCGUGGCUGGGACUGAGGAUCUCAGCAUGCCUUUAUGGCGGGGGUUCGCCCACCUUCAUGCUUAGGAUGCUGGCGUAAUGGCUUUAAACGACCCG
rnacentral:rRNA from 1 species